rnacentral:rRNA from 1 species
GUCUACGGCCACGCCACCCUGAACAAGCCCGAUCCCGUCUGAUCUCAGAAGCUAAGCAGUGUCAGGCCUGGUUAGGACUUGCAUGGGAGACCACCUAGGAAGACCGGGUGCUGUAGGCG